AUGCAUGUGUUCAGGUACUUCAUUGUAAUUGACGGUUUGCAACAACAAGAAGAUUGGGAUUUCCUGAGGAAUGUCUUCCCUGAAAAUGAGAGAAGUAGCAGGAUAGUUGUGAGCACAAGUGUCCAACGUGUCGCCAAGUACUGCAGCUCCAGCACUAGUUUCGUGUACAAAAUGGAAGGUCUCGACAAUGAGGAGACUAAGAAACUGUUCUGGCAAGAAGUAGGAGUGCCGAAUGCUGCCGAUUCGUUGAAACAACUUGCACAAGGCAUCUGUAAUGGAUGCCACGGUUUACCCCUCGCAGUUGUCAGUGCAGCCAAGUAUUUGAGACCCAUAUGGACAGAACUGGGACAGAGUGACUGGGACCGCGAGGCUCUCGCGCUAGGUAACCGCGUAACAGGCCAGGGCGAGCAACCUGCCUUUGCAGAACUGAAAAAAGUCCUCGUGGAAUGCUUCGACGGCCUAACCUGCCACCGUGUCAAGACUUGCUUGUUGUCUGUUACAAUGUUCCCCAAGGGCCAACCCAUCAAGAGGAAAAGCUUGUUCCGGAGGUGGAUAGCUGAAGGCUUCGUGGAGCAUGACGGGCGUCUGGAUAAGAACGCCGCUAUGCCAUGA
rnacentral:rRNA from 1 species